rnacentral:rRNA from 1 species
AUUGAACGCUGGCGGCAGGCCUAACACAUGCAAGUCGAGCGAGCGGCGGACGGGUGAGUAAUGUAUGGGGACUGCCCGAUAGAGGGGGAUAACUACUGGAAACGGUAGCUAAUACCGCAUACUAGCGGCUAACCCAUAUGGGAUUAGCUAGUAGGUGAGGUAAUGGCGCACCUAGGCGACGAUCCCUAGCUGGUCUGAGAGGUUGAUCAGCCACACUGGGACUGAGACACGGCCCAGACUCCUACGGAGGCAGCAGUGGGGAAUAUUGGACAAUGGGCGCAAGCCUGAUGAAGCAACGCCGCGUGUAUGAAGAAGGCCCUAGGGUUGUAAAGUACUUUCAGUCGGGAGGCGUUACCGACAGAGGAAGCACCGGCUAACUCCGUGCCAGCAGCCGCGGUAAUUC